GACGAACGCUGGCGGCGUGCUUAACACAUGCAAGUCGAACGGAAAGGCCCUUCGGGGUCCUCGAGUGGCGAACGGGUGAGUAACACGUGGGUGAUCUGCCCUGCACUUUGGGAUAAGCCUGGGAAACUGGGUCUAAUACCGAAUAUGAUCAUCGGCUUCAUGGUCGGUGGUGGAAAGCUUUUGCGGUGUGGGAUGGGCCCGCGGCCUAUCAGCUUGUUGGUGGGGUAAUGGCCUACCAAGGCGACGACGGGUAGCCGGCCUGAGAGGGUGACCGGCCACACUGGGACUGAGAUACGGCCCAGACUCCUACGGGAGGCAGCAGUGGGGAAUAUUGCACAAUGGGCGCAAGCCUGAUGCAGCGACGCCGCGUGAGGGAUGACGGCCUUCGGGUUGUAAACCUCUUUCAGCACAGACGAAGCCCAAGUGACGGUAUGUGCAGAAGAAGGACCGGCCAACUACGUG
rnacentral:rRNA from 1 species